GGUUAAGCGACUAAGCGUACACGGUGGAUGCCCUGGCAGUCAGAGGCGAUGAAGGACGUGCUAAUCUGCGAUAAGCGUCGGUGAGGUGAUAUGAACCGUUAUAACCGGCGAUUUCCGAAUGGGGAAACCCAGUGUGAUUCGUCACACUAUCAUUAACUGAAUCCAUAGGUUAAUGAGGCGAACCGGGGGAACUGAAACAUCUAAGUACCCCGAGGAAAAGAAAUCAACCGAGAUUCCCCCAGUAGCGGCGAGCGAACGGGGAGGAGCCCAGAGCCUGAAUCAGUGUGUGUGUUAGUGGAAGCGUCUGGAAAGGCGUGCGAUACAGGGUGACAGCCCCGUACACAAAAAUGCACAUAUUGUGAGCUCGAUGAGUAGGGCGGGACACGUGGUAUCCUGUCUGAAUAUGGGGGGACCAUCCUCCAAGGCUAAAUACUCCUGACUGACCGAUAGUGAACCAGUACCGUGAGGGAAAGGCGAAAAGAACCCCGGCGAGGGGAGUGAAAAAGAACCUGAAACCGUGUACGUACAAGCAGUGGGAGCCUCUUAAUGGGGUGACUGCGUACCUUUUGUAUAAUGGGUCAGCGACUUAUAUUCUGUAGCAAGGUUAACCGAAUAGGGGAGCCGAAGGGAAACCGAGUCUUAACUGGGCGUUAAGUUGCAGGGUAUAGACCCGAAACCCGGUGAUCUAGCCAUGGGCAGGUUGAAGGUUGGGUAACACUAACUGGAGGACCGAACCGACUAAUGUUGAAAAAUUAGCGGAUGACUUGUGGCUGGGGGUGAAAGGCCAAUCAAACCGGGAGAUAGCUGGUUCUCCCCGAAAGCUAUUUAGGUAGCGCCUCGUGAAUUCAUCUCCGGGGGUAGAGCACUGUUUCGGCAAGGGGGUCAUCCCGACUUACCAACCCGAUGCAAACUGCGAAUACCGGAGAAUGUUAUCACGGGAGACACACGGCGGGUGCUAACGUCCGUCGUGAAGAGGGAAACAACCCAGACCGCCAGCUAAGGUCCCAAAGUCAUGGUUAAGUGGGAAACGAUGUGGGAAGGCCCAGACAGCCAGGAUGUUGGCUUAGAAGCAGCCAUCAUUUAAAGAAAGCGUAAUAGCUCACUGGUCGAGUCGGCCUGCGCGGAAGAUGUAACGGGGCUAAACCAUGCACCGAAGCUGCGGCAGCGACACUAUGUGUUGUUGGGUAGGGGAGCGUUCUGUAAGCCUGUGAAGGUGGCCUGUGAGGGUUGCUGGAGGUAUCAGAAGUGCGAAUGCUGACAUAAGUAACGAUAAAGCGGGUGAAAAGCCCGCUCGCCGGAAGACCAAGGGUUCCUGUCCAACGUUAAUCGGGGCAGGGUGAGUCGACCCCUAAGGCGAGGCCGAAAGGCGUAGUCGAUGGGAAACGGGUUAAUAUUCCCGUACUUGGUGUUACUGCGAAGGGGGGACGGAGAAGGCUAUGUUGGCCGGGCGACGGUUGUCCCGGUUUAAGCGUGUAGGCUGGUUUUCCAGGCAAAUCCGGAAAAUCAAGGCUGAGGCGUGAUGACGAGGCACUACGGUGCUGAAGCGACAAAUGCCCUGCUUCCAGGAAAAGCCUCUAAGCAUCAGGUAACAUCAAAUCGUACCCCAAACCGACACAGGUGGUCAGGUAGAGAAUACCAAGGCGCUUGAGAGAACUCGGGUGAAGGAACUAGGCAAAAUGGUGCCGUAACUUCGGGAGAAGGCACGCUGAUAUGUAGGUGAAGCGACUUGCUCGUGGAGCUGAAAUCAGUCGAAGAUACCAGCUGGCUGCAACUGUUUAUUAAAAACACAGCACUGUGCAAACACGAAAGUGGACGUAUACGGUGUGACGCCUGCCCGGUGCCGGAAGGUUAAUUGAUGGGGUUAGCGGUAACGCGAAGCUCUUGAUCGAAGCCCCGGUAAACGGCGGCCGUAACUAUAACGGUCCUAAGGUAGCGAAAUUCCUUGUCGGGUAAGUUCCGACCUGCACGAAUGGCGUAAUGAUGGCCAGGCUGUCUCCACCCGAGACUCAGUGAAAUUGAACUCGCUGUGAAGAUGCAGUGUACCCGCGGCAAGACGGAAAGACCCCGUGAACCUUUACUAUAGCUUGACACUGAACAUUGAGCCUUGAUGUGUAGGAUAGGUGGGAGGCUUUGAAGUGUGGACGCCAGUCUGCAUGGAGCCGACCUUGAAAUACCACCCUUUAAUGUUUGAUGUUCUAACGUGGGCCCCUUACCGGGGUUGCGGACAGUGUCUGGUGGGUAGUUUGACUGGGGCGGUCUCCUCCUAAAGAGUAACGGAGGAGCACGAAGGUUGGCUAAUCCUGGUCGGACAUCAGGAGGUUAGUGCAAUGGCAUAAGCCAGCUUGACUGCGAGCGUGACGGCGCGAGCAGGUGCGAAAGCAGGUCAUAGUGAUCCGGUGGUUCUGAAUGGAAGGGCCAUCGCUCAACGGAUAAAAGGUACUCCGGGGAUAACAGGCUGAUACCGCCCAAGAGUUCAUAUCGACGGCGGUGUUUGGCACCUCGAUGUCGGCUCAUCACAUCCUGGGGCUGAAGUAGGUCCCAAGGGUAUGGCUGUUCGCCAUUUAAAGUGGUACGCGAGCUGGGUUUAGAACGUCGUGAGACAGUUCGGUCCCUAUCUGCCGUGGGCGCUGGAGAACUGAGGGGGGCUGCUCCUAGUACGAGAGGACCGGAGUGGACGCAUCACUGGUGUUCGGGUUGUCAUGCCAAUGGCACUGCCCGGUAGCUAAAUGCGGAAGAGAUAAGUGCUGAAAGCAUCUAAGCACGAAACUUGCCCCGAGAUGAGUUCUCCCUGACUCCUUGAGAGUCCUGAAGGAACGUUGAAGACGACGACGUUGAUAGGCCGGGUGUGUAAGCGCAGCGAUGCGUUGAGCUAACCGGUACUAAUGAACCGUGAGGCUUAACCUUACAACGCCGAAGAUGUUUUG
rnacentral:rRNA from 1 species